UACGGAGGGAGCUAGCGUUGUUCGGAAUUACUGGGCGUAAAGCGCACGUAGGCGGCUUUGUAAGUUAGAGGUGAAAGCCCCGGGGGCUCAACUCCGGAACUGCCUUUAAGACUGCAUCGCUUGAAUCCAGGAGAGGUGAGUGGAAUUCCGAGUGUAGAGGUGAAAUUCGUAGAUAUUCGGAAGAACACCAGUGGCGAAGGCGGCUCACUGGACUGGUAUUGACGCUG
rnacentral:rRNA from 1 species